rnacentral:rRNA from 1 species
UACACAUGCAAGUCGAGGGGUAACAGAGAAAAGCUUGCUUUUUUGCUGACGACCGGCGCACGGGUGCGUAACGCGUAUGCAAUCUACCUUUUGCUAAGGGAUAGCCCAGAGAAAUUUGGAUUAAUACCUUAUAGUAUGAUGACUUGGCAUCAAGAUAUCAUUAAAGGUUACGGCAAAAGAUGAGCAUGCGUUCUAUUAGCUAGUUGGUAUGGUAACGGCAUACCAAGGCAACGAUAGAUAGGGGUCCUGAGAGGGAGAUCCCCCACACUGGUACUGAGACACGGACCAGACUCCUACGGGAGGCAGCAGUGAGGAAUAUUGGACAAUGGAGGCAACUCUGAUCCAGCCAUGCCGCGUGCAGGAAGACUGCCCUAUGGGUUGUAAACUGCUUUUAUACAGGAAGAAACACCUCUACGUGUAGAGAUUUGACGGUACUGUAAGAAUAAGGAUCGGCUAACUCCGUGCCAGCAGCCGCGGUAAUACGGAGGAUCCAAGCGUCAUCCGGAAUCAUUGGGUUUAAAGGGUCCGUAGGUGGAUAAUUAAGUCAGAGGUGAAAUCCUGCAGCUUAACUGUAGAAUUGCCUUUGAUACUGGUUGUCUUGAGUU